rnacentral:lncRNA from 1 species
CACCCUAGUUCUGUGUUACUGGGGCUGGGGGCCAGGAGGCAGGAUAGGACAUGCUCUUGCCUCCCCACCUCCGCUGUGCUCAGCAGCUGGUGGAGACCUGGGAGGAGAAUCCCAGGCUGAUGCCUAGCGUGGGCCCAGUAAAGUCUUUGGGGAUUUGAUGCAACCCCGAGUUCCUGAUGGCUCAUGGAGAGGCUGUGCCUGCACCUCGUGGCGAUGAGCCAUCUGGGGCUCGCCCCGCACCCAGCACAUGGCUAGGAGCAUAGUGAACUCCGUCUCUAGGAAUGGGCAGGACCCAGGAAGGCUAGUGAAAAGAUGCAUUUGAGGCCUGAGCUCUCUGUGUCCAGAAGCAGCCCCCUCAGGUUGUGGGGGGACACUCUGGGUCUUGCACCUGCCAAGGCCCCUGCCACAGAGAAUGGGAACAGCACUGCUCCCCCAGGGCCACUCCAAGUUUUCUGGUCUCAAGAUGCAGUCCCUGUGGGGCUGUGGGUGGGCCCCCUCUCUGCCUAGCCCAGUUCCAGCUACAGAAGCUGUGUGGAAACAUCUCCCCUGAACCAAGUGCCUUUGAACUUUCCAGGAAUGCUGGCCUGGGGCGGAGCAGGGGUGGCAGGGAAGGACAGGCGUGGGGUGGGAUGUUCCAGAAUCUACUGGGACCCAAACCCGAGAGCACCGAGUUCCCACGAGCCAAUGCCUGGCUGUGGAGGAACCGGGAGGUCACAGGGAUGCAAUGGGCAACAUCAGGAUGAGGCAGGAAAGAAAACUGGCUCAGAGAGGCUGAGUAACCUGCUCAAGAUGACACAGCUUGUGGGUGGCUGAGUUGGCCUUCCAACCCAGAUUCCUGUCAUGUUCCUCAAGCCGACAGGUUCAGCUUGGUUGUGACCUCUGCUAGAAGCCCUCCCUGGCCUCCCUGUGCACUGAGCUGGUGGUUCCUCCUUUGCGCCCCAGGUACAUGCUCAGAUCUGUGUACCCUACACUUUGUCCUCCAGCUUCGUGUUUGGAUGUUCACAACUCCCAUGAGAAGGGCCCCCGAGAGCUGGCACAGUGCAUGUGUUUCCUCUCCAGACUUCUACAAACCUGGCACAUAAUUGUUUGCUGAAAGAUGGCAUGUUCCUAAAACAGAGGAAGUAGAACCGAAUAAAGCGAAAUCCAACUUCCCA